AUGAUUGUUUCAGAAACAUGCCGCCCCUUCUAUGCACAUAUAGGGGAGACAUCUCAAAAACAGGCAGAAAAGAGGACAGAGGUUGUGACGCCAUCAGGGUGCCACUGCUCCCUUAUUUCACCAAGGAGCAUCAUCACCAGGACUGUGGCUCUGCCUGCCUUUCACAUCUGUUACCUCCUGAAGCUAUGGAACAGAGCAUAUGCAGUUUAAUUGAGAAUUCAUGAGCAUCAGUGGAGAGCACCUGAGAAGAGCACAACCAGCUACAGGCAAGUCUGCACCUUUAUUUUCCUCCCUCUUAUGUAAAAACAAUCAGGCAUAAGUGCAGCAAGGACAGCCAGAAGUUUAAAUGUGGUUAAUAAACAUUCCAUCAUAAAAGAGGGAGAAAGAAAG
rnacentral:lncRNA from 1 species